UACGUAGGGUGCGAGCGUUAAUCGGAAUUACUGGGCGUAAAGCGUGCGCAGGCGGUUUUGUAAGCCAGAUGUGAAAGCCCCGGGCUUAACCUGGGAAUGGCAUUUGGGACUGCAAGGCUAGAGUGCGGCAGAGGAGACUGGAAUUCCUGGUGUAGCAGUGAAAUGCGUAGAUAUCAGGAGGAAUACCGAUGGCGAAGGCAGGUCUCUGGGCUGAGCACUGAACGUCACUGCACGAAA
rnacentral:rRNA from 1 species